UACGUAGGGUGCGAGCGUUAAUCGGAAUUACUGGGCGUAAAGUGUGCGCAGGCGGCUUCGCAAGUCGAGUGUGAAAUCCCCGAGCUUAACUUUGGAAUUGCGUUCGAAACUACGGAGCUGGAGUGUGGCAGAGGAAGGUGGAAUUCCACGUGUAGCGGUGAAAUGCGUAGAGAUGUGGAGGAACACCGAUGGCGAAGGCAGCCUUCUGGGCCAACACUGACGCUCAUGCACGAAAGCGUGGGGAGCAAACAGG
rnacentral:rRNA from 1 species